UUUAAUUUUUUAACAUUUACAAUAAAUAACAAUUAUUACAUAUAUUAAUUAGAAAAUAUAUUUGAGCAAAGAAAGUUGAUCAAAUCAAACAUCAAAGAACAACCUCAAAUCAGCACAAGUGGCCACCAGAUGAAGGAUCAAGUUUGGAUUUUUAUUCCCCGCACGGAGUAAGCAAACACAUGCAGGAGGCAAAUAUGGAGAUCUUAUGAAAUGCAACUUCGGUAAGUUUUAAAUCUGUUUAAACACAUAAAUAUAGUCUAGAAUUUGAGGACUCAGUGGUUGGAAAAAACGUUAUUUUUUUGUGCUUCUACAGGGUCUGCAAAGUUGUAACGUUAAUUAUCUCACUGUGGCACGUGAGAUGGAGUCACUAUUUUAUCAUUUGUUACAGUUGUCUUUUUUUGUUGUUUUUUUUGUCCAAAGUUUAUUGAAGAGGGUAAAAUUUUAAAAUUAAAUGUUAAAGGGAGCUUGUUGAAGCUUUGGAAUAAAUGUACAAUACAUGAUGAAUAUUGCAGUGAGAAUUUUUAGAUGCAAUGUAGACAAAAAAUAUAGAUAUAAAAUAUAGACAAAACGUAUUUUUUUUAAAUAACACCUUUAAUUCAUUUUCGGGAAAACAUCUGUACAUAAGUGUAAUAUUGUAAAAUAAUUUAGCUUUAAAUUAAAAUUGGAAGCCUUUGUAAUCUAAAAUGCCUGUUUUCCUGUAAACUGGAAGUUAACAGUUUACAAUAAAGCUGUUAACUUUUCUGUAAGUAAACGUGUAAGUUAACGGUUCUGUAAAUUCACUUUGGCAGUGAAGGAGACACUAACGGUUGGAGCUCUUAACGGAAGUUGAUAUUCGAGUGGAAGCGCCAGUCCUCCAGAGAUGUCGGAAAGUCGGUCUGACACGAGGAGGCUUGUUACAGAACACUCGUGGUACUAACACACCUUCUGCCCCCUGUUAGUGGAAGACAAUGUAGCGUCAAGGAUACAAUAACACACCUUCUAGAUUUUGUGCCGACUGGAACAAGAAUAGCAUCCCUCUGCAAUGAUUCUGCUACUUCAUCAACAAACCAUCAGCCCCAGCUCAUCUGCAUCAGUAAUCUGCGGUCGUCAAAGCAGUAUGUCAUCGUUGCAAAAAAUGACAAAGUCACCAUCCCCCUGGACGAUGGACUCACAUGUGCUGUGGACAAGCUUUUUAAGCUGUACUGGGUGUUUAACUUGUGUUAUCCAUCCCAACUCGGACCUGUCUUUACAUUUUUUGAGUACAUCUAUGAUCUUCCAUUCUCCACACAAAGAAAAACAAGGGUGAUUGAAUUGAUUGCACAACUUAAAGCUUGUAAAUGAAAUGUAUUGUUGUCCAAAAUGUAGACAAACUGGUUUCAAAGAGGUGAAAAAUCUC